rnacentral:rRNA from 1 species
CUACGUGCCAGCAGCCGCGGUAAUACGGAAGGUCCGGGCGUUAUCCGGAUUUAUUGGGUUUAAAGGGAGCGUAGGCUGGAGAUUAAGUGUGUUGUGAAAUGUAGACGCUCAACGUCUGAAUUGCAGCGCAUACUGGUUUCCUUGAGUACGCACAACGUUGGCGGAAUUCGUCGUGUAGCGGUGAAAUGCUUAGAUAUGACGAAGAACUCCGAUUGCGAAGGCAGCUGACGGGAGCGCAACUGACGCUUAAGCUCGAAGGUGCGGGUAUCGAACAGGAUUAGAUACCCUGGUAGUCCGCACAGUAAACGAUGGAUGCCCGCUGUUAGCGCCUGGCGUUAGCGGCUAAGCGAAAGCAUUAAGCAUCCCACCUGGGGAGUACGCCGGCAACGGUGAAACUCAAAGGAAUUGACGGGGGCCCGCACAAGCGGAGGAACAUGUGGUUUAAUUCGAUGAUACGCGAGGAACCUUACCCGGGCUUGAAUUGCAGAGGAAUUAUUUAGAGAUA